rnacentral:rRNA from 1 species
AUUGAACGCUGGCGGCAGGCCUAACACAUGCAAGUAGAAAGAGUGGCGGACGGGUGAGUAAUGUCUGGGAAAAUGCCCGAUGGAGGGGGAAAACUACUGGAAACGGUAGCUAAUACCGCAUACCAUCGGAUGUGCCCAGAUGGGAUUAGCUAGUAGGUGGGGGAACGGCUCACCUAGGCGACGAUCCCUAGCUGGUAUGGUAGGAUGACCAGCCCCACUGGAACUGCUCCACGGUCCAGACUCCUACGGUAGGCAGCAGUGGGGAAUAUUGCACAAUGGGCGCAAGCCUGAUACAGCCAUGCCGCGUGUAUGAAGAAGGCCUUCGGGUUGUAAAGUACUUUCAGCGAGGAGGCGUUACUCGCAGAAGAAGCACCGGCUAACUCCGUGCCAGCAGCCGCGGUAAUAC